CAAAAGCAUGGUCCCGACUUUUAUGUCAGCUGUAGCCAAAAUUACACAUGCAAGUAUCCGCACCCCCGUGAGAAUGCCCUCAACACCUUAUGGUCUAGAGGGGCCGGCAUCAGGCACACAACUGUAGCCCAAGACGCCUUGCUUAGCCACACCCCCAAGGGUACCCAGCAGUGAUUGACAUUAAACAUAAGCGAAAGCUUGAUUUAGUUAUGGCUAAAAGAGCCGGUUAAACUCGUGCCAGCCGCCGCGGUUAUACGAGAGGCCCUAGUUGACAUCAUCGGCGUAAAGCGUGACUACGGGACACUAAAAACUAAAGCCAAAACUCCUCAAAGCUGUUAUACGCACAUUGAGGCCCACAAGCUCCCAAACGAAAGUAGCUUUAAACAAACACCCGGAACUCACGACAGCUGGGAAACAAACUGGGAUUAGAUACCCCACUAUGCCCAGUCAUAAACUUUGAUGGUAAAAUACCUGUACCAUUCGCCAGGGUACUACGAGCGUGUCGCUUAAAACCCAACGGACUUGGCGGUGCCCCACACUCCACCUAGAGGAGCCUGUUCUAUAACUGAAACCACCCGUUAAACCUCACCACUUCUAGCAACCCAGUCUAUAUACCGCCGUCGCAAGCCCACCCUGUGAAGGAAAAACAGCAAGCAAGAUGGGUACAACCCAAAACGUCAGGUCGAGGUGUAGCAUAUGAAGCGGAAAGAAAUGGGCUACAUUUUCUGAAAACAGAACACACGAACAUAACCAUGAAACACGUUACUUGAAGGAGGAUUUAGCAGUAAAAAGAAAACAGAGUGUUCUUUUGAAGCCGGCUCUGAGGCGCGCACACACCGCCCGUCACUCUCCACUAAAACAAUCUAAUCACACAAAAUAAAUAAAAACCACACCACAAACCAGUGGGAGACAAGUCGUAACACGGUAAGUGUACCGGAAGGUGCACUUGGAUCAAC
rnacentral:ncRNA from 1 species